UACACUCCUGCGGGAGGCAGCAGUGGGGAAUUUUGGACAAUGGGCGAAAGCCUGAUCCAGCAAUGCCGCGUGAGUGAAGAAGGCCUUCGGGUUGUAAAGCUCUUUUGUCAGGGAAGAAACGGUGAAAGCUAAUAUCUUUUGCUAAUGACGGUACCUGAAGAAUAAGCACCGGCUAACUACGUGCCAGCAGCCGCGGUAAUACGUAGGGUGCAAGCGUUAAUCGGAAUUACUGGGCGUAAAGCGUGCGCAGGCGGUUUUGUAAGUCUGAUGUGAAAUCCCCGGGCUUAACCUGGGAAUUGCAUUGGAGACUGCAAGGCUAGAAUCUGGCAGAGGGGGGUAGAAUUCCACGUGUAGCAGUGAAAUGCGUAGAUAUGUGGAGGAACACCGAUGGCGAAGGCAGCCCCCUGGGUCAAGAUUGACGCUCAUGCACGAAAGCGUGGGGAGCAAACAGGAUUAGAACCCGUGUAGUCUC
rnacentral:rRNA from 1 species